rnacentral:rRNA from 1 species
CCAGACUCCUACGGGAGGCAGCAGUCGGGAAUAUUGCGCAAUGGAGGAAACUCUGACGCAGUGACGCCGCGUGCAGGAAGAAGGUUUUCGGAUUGUAAACUGCUUUAGACAGGGAAGAUACAAGACAGUACCUGUAAAAUAAGCUCCGGCUAACUACGUGCCAGCAGCCGCGGUAAUACGUAGGGAGCAAGCGUUAUCCGGAUUUAUUGGGUGUAAAGGGAGCGCAGACGGCAGUGCAAGUCUGGAGUGAGAGCCCGUGGCUUAACUACGGGACUGCUCUGGAAACUGUGCAGCUAGAGUGCAGGAGAGGCAGGCGGAAUUCCUAGUGUAGCGGUGAAAUGCGUAGAUAUUAGGAGGAACACCGGUGGCGAAGGCGGCCUGCUGGACUGUGACUGACGUUGAGGCUCGAAAGCGUGGGGAGCAAACAGGAUUAGAUACCCUGGUA